rnacentral:lncRNA from 1 species
GGUGAGCUGGGAUGCGGGCUUCUAUUGGAUGCUAGUAUUUCUUUGACAUCAGUCGCAUCUUUUGACAAGAUCUUUUGCAUCCUUUUGCAUCGAAGGCUAGUAGUAUCAUUGAUGGAGAAUCUUGCGUGCUAGUGACCUUUUAUCGAGAUGGUUGCCAUAGAUGCCUUCAUAGACUUCUCGAAGUGCAUAAUUUGGCUUGGAU